CAGCCUCUGCAGAAGGAAAGAAGAUUGGGUUCCCUGGAAGACAGGGGAAGAGGAAGCACCCAGCUGCAACAGGAGUCCUGGGUGAGGCUACGAAGCCCUGAGUCUUGACACCCAUCAUCACACAGAGAAAAUGAGCGUCUCUGCCUAUCUACCUCACAGGCCAGAUAGAUGGCCAUCUUUGGACUGUGUGCUUCUGAAGAAGUAAUUUGUUGCUGCCGUGAGCCGUGCCCUUCCCACAUCAAGGCUGAAGCUUAAUUUCUGCCAGAGGCCUGCCAACCCUGCCCUUCAGCCUGGGACUUGCCCCCAAGGCCCCCACCAGCCACAGCCCAGCCGCUUUGCUUUUUCCCUCCCCCUGCUCUGUGUAGCUUCCAAGCGCCACUGAAAUUCUCUCUCUUUCUCUCAUGCAGUCUGUACUCCAACCAAAUUUGGCUUCUCCAUGUUCUCCCAACACACCUUGUAGCUCAAGCCUUCUUCCUGUAUUUUGCUCACCCUGGUCUCUUUUUUGAGAGGCAGGGGAAAGGCUUUUCUUCACCUCUACAAAUAAAGUCAUCUCAGAAA